UUGCUGUGUCAGUAGUACUUUGUCGUCUUGUCUUUUUCAUAUUGUAUAAUAUCCUUGUAUUGAGUUAUAAACCGUGGCUGAAAAUGCCCUGUGAAUCUUAAGUCCGAAUUUUUAGCACACGGUGUUUUUUCCAGUGUUUCCUAUAGAAUGUGAACUUGGAGUAAAAGUCCGAGGUACGUAACACGCCUGGCCGUGGCCGUUGCCCGCACACAAAGCCGUGACCCAGCCACUGCACGUCCGUGCUCUGGAUCCUUACCAAUUGCUCCCAAAUGAUCAUUCUCGGCUGCGAUCCGCCCAGGGUAUCUUGUCACUUUUGGAGAGCACCGCGGGAAUGAGAGCGGUACGGUCGCUGUCCACGCGCGCUGGGAUGCAGCGCAGCCGUCCCUCCCUCUCCCAGGACGGAGCGAGCCGUCGGACGUGCCUGUCGAUCCACCCGGGGUUGCGUUGGAGCGUUUGCCGCAGCCUGUCUGCGGUUCUGGGUUACGGCAUUGAGGUGUCGGAGCUUUCAGCAAAAAUCCCUGAACAAAGGGGUCUGGGACGUGGUGCUGCAGCCCCUCAGAGCUGGAGUUUAUCACCAUAUUCUUCUCUGUAUCAGGUGCUGGGAGGGAUAGGCUCAGGGCUUUUUCCACGCUUAUUUUUGCAGGCUAGAAAUUCAGCUUCUGCCUUGCUCUGAAGGUUCUGAUAACCUGGUAAUUAAUAAAAGCCCGACAUGAAAGCGUUGAGCAGUGAGCAGAUGAUAGGGAAGAGAUACUUAGCUAAUAACUCCAUCCCAGCUCAAAAAUGCAAUUUCCUCUCUUGUACCUCAAGUGCUGUUAGGCUCAGGAUUAUCCUGGAUUGUCUCUUGUUGUCGCGCAGAGAACAAAGUCCUGACUGAAGCCCAAGUUGGAUGCCUGAUUUAGAUGCUGGGAAUACCUGCUGGGGGGGGACGCCCCUCCGCCCCCGGCAACUUUGGGCGUGCGUAGAUGAAUCUGGGCAGGUCGCUCUGAGGGAGGCUGGCAGCUCUUGUUGCUUUCGCGCACAUCCUGUCCUGUCCCGUCCCGAGCGCUUUCAGCGACGCCGCGGUCCCGGUGUCCCCACGGUGUGAGGAUCCUGCCCCUGCCUUAGUGCUGAAGCGAGGGAUGUAACCGUGGCUGUGCGGCUGCCCGUGCCAGCCCUCGUUCGGAGCCGGCUGCCUUCCACUGCUGGGUGGAGCCUCCGGAAUGCUUUUUUCCCCUGAAUAAAUGGUCUUUGCAAGUGAAGUUUUUCUUAUAGAAGAGAAUAGUUCAGUUGGAAGGGGCCUGCAACGAUCGUCUUGUCCAACUGCCAGCACGCAGUCGGCACUUUAUCUUUCUGUUCUUGGUUCAUCUUAAGUUUGGUGGUGGCAAAAAUAAAUAAAGUACAUUAAAAAGUCAA